UACGUAGGGAGCAAGCGUUGUCCGGAAUCAUUGGGCGUAAAGAGCGCGUAGGCGGUCCGGUAAGUCGGUUGUGAAAACUGGGGGCUCAACCCUCAGACGCCGACCGAUACUGUCGGGCUAGAGUCCGGAAGAGGCGAGUGGAAUUCCCGGUGUAGCGGUGAAAUGCGCAGAUAUCGGGAGGAACACCCGUAGCGAAGGCGGCACUCUGGGCCGGUACUGACGCUGAGGAGCGAAAGCGUGGGGAGCAAACAGG
rnacentral:rRNA from 1 species